GCUCCAGGGAUGGCUCAGUUGGUAGAUCAUGAGACUCAAAAUUUCAGGUUUGUGGGUUCAAGCCCCACAUUGGGCA